AAAGUGGGCGAGUGGCUUUCCUUUAGACUUAUAUCUCGCUUUUCCUGCGGGAGGCCGUUUGGGCGAAAGCUGCGCCGUGUGCAGAGUCGCGCGCAUCCUUUGGAUGACCCUCGCUCUCGCGCUGCCCCUUCAAUCCAGAUCGGAUCACACAGCUGGCAUGAUUCUUCAUUUAAAGUUCUGAUCAGGCUUCAUCCCCGCCACCCGCCAGAGCUCAAGUGCCGUCCCACUCACGAGAAUCAGCCUCGGGUCUGCAAAGGAGGCCCUCCUGCGUGCAGUGACCAAUUGCCACCUUCCCCUGAAAUAUCCUUGGAUACCAGCAUUCGCUCCAGGCAGAAAAGAAAAUUCUGAUACCGUUUGGGGCCACAGCAAAGCACGAGGCAUCUGGGUGAGUAAAGCCGCACGGAGAGAGUUUGAAGGUGGACCUUCCGAAAAAGGCUUGGUUCCAUGUUCAUGAUCAACGAAUUCACAAACAGAGAUAUCCUUUAAUAUUCUGCCUGCGUGGUGGGAUCACCACAAUGCUUUUUUUCCUGAACAACCCAGGAAGAUUCAGGAGGCAGAAGAGUCAGAGGGGUGAUGCUGAGAGGCUCCAACUGGCUCAGUCUGAGCCAGGAGGGGUUAAAACCCUGCAGAGGGUUCUGUGCGGGAGAAAUUGCUUUCUUACAGGCAGGCCUCGACGUACCAUGAAAGUGCCGGAGGAAAUUCUCUACCCUGCCUCCCUGCUGGGCAAAACAAGAGACCUUUUUGAUCCAGAUUGAUUAGGCGGGGGAGAAAAGGAAGAGAGUAUCAAAUACUUUUCCUUAAUAUAAGCUUUCUGACGCAUACAAAAAUACUGUAUUUUGCCAAAACAAAAAUGCUUUCAAUUGGAACAGUGACUUUUCAUCCUAUCAGGAAUCUAACUCACCUGGUAAAACUUACUCAGAUUUUGCAUAGAAAUAAAAAACGGAAGCCAUUGCC